rnacentral:rRNA from 1 species
ACCUCGGAUCAGGUAGGAAUACCCGCUGAACUUAAGCAUAUCAAUAAGCGGAGGAAAAGAAACCAACAGGGAUUGCCCUAGUAACGGCGAGUGAAGCGGCAACAGCUCAAAUUUGAAAUCUGGCUUCGGCCCGAGUUGUAAUUUGUAGAGGAUGCUUUUGGUGAGGUGCCUUCUGAGUUCCCUGGAACGGGACGCCAGAGAGGGUGAGAGCCCCGUAUAGUCGGCCACCGAUCCUCUGUAAAGCUCCUUCGACGAGUCGAGUAGUUUGGGAAUGCUGCUCAAAAUGGGAGGUAUAUCUCUUCUAAAGCUAAAUAUUGGCCAGAGACCGAUAGCGCACAAGUAGAGUGAUCGAAAGAUGAAAAGCACUUUGAAAAGAGGGUUAAAUAGCACGUGAAAUUGUUGAAAGGGAAGCGCUUGUGACCAGACUUGUGCCGGGCUGAUCAUCCAGUGUUCUCACUGGUGCACUCGACCCGGCUCAGGCCAGCGUCGGUUCUCGUAGGGGGAUAAAAGCUUCGGGAACGUGGCACCUUCGGGUGUGUUAUAGCCCGUUGCUUAAUACCCUUGUGGGGACCGAGG